AUGAAAGCUCCGUGGUUGGCCGCAUGGUUACUCUUUACAGGCCUCAGCGUGCGUCCUGGACACAUGACCUCCCUCCCUGUUGAGGAUCUGUCUGGAUCAGGUGAUGAUAAUGAAGGGUCUGGGUCUGGGGACUGGACAGAAGGCAACUCAGACCCCCAUGUCGUACCCACAACCAUCUCACAGUUUACCCCAGGAGGGAACAGAAUCAUCCCGGAUAUCAACUUGGGUGACACUAAAAGAGAAUUGUCUGAUGACUCGGAUAUAAUAUUUGAUUCCCAGCCAUCGCAUUUACCACCUCCAACUGGACAGGGGAGUCAUAGUUUUUUGGAGGACAAGGAGACUCUUGCAGCUGUUGUCAGUGGAGGCGUUGGGGCAUUGGUCCUGGCCCUUGUGCUUGUCGCUGCUGUGGUGUACAACAUGAAGAGGAAGGAGAAAGCAAAGUGUGGAGCAGACCAGAACACACACUGCAGCACAGUGUAUCACAAAGCACAGACAAAAGACGAGUUCAUAAUAGCAUAG
rnacentral:lncRNA from 1 species